rnacentral:tRNA from 1 species
GCCCCAAUAGUAUACUGGCUGAUUACACGUCAUUGGUAAUGACGAAAGGGAAGUUCAAUUCUUCCUUGGGGCACCA